AAUGGGUCAGCGACUUAUAUUCUGUAGCAAGGUUAACCGAAUAGGGGAGCCGAAGGGAAACCGAGUCUUAACUGGGCGUUAAGUUGCAGGGUAUAGACCCGAAACCCGGUGAUCUAGCCAUGGGCAGGUUGAAGGUUGGGUAACACUAACUGGAGGACCGAACCGACUAAUGUUGAAAAAUUAGCGGAUGACUUGUGGCUGGGGGUGAAAGGCCAAUCAAACCGGGAGAUAGCUGGUUCUCCCCGAAAGCUAUUUAGGUAGCGCCUCGUGAAUUCAUCUCCGGGGGUAGAGCACUGUUUCGGCAAGGGGGUCAUCCCGACUUACCAACCCGAUGCAAACUGCGAAUACCGGAGAAUGUUAUCACGGGAGACACACGGCGGGUGCUAACGUCCGUCGUGAAGAGGGAAACAACCCAGACCGCCAGCUAAGGUCCCAAAGUCAUGGUUAAGUGGGAAACGAUGUGGGAAGGCCCAGACAGCCAGGAUGUUGGCUUAGAAGCAGCCAUCAUUUAAAGAAAGCGUAAUAGCUCACUGGUCGAGUCGGCCUGCGCGGAAGAUGUAACGGGGCUAAACCAUGCACCGAAGCUGCGGCAGCGACGCUUAUGCGUUGUUGGGUAGGGGAGCGUUCUGUAAGCCUGUGAAGGUGUACUGUGAGGUAUGCUGGAGGUAUCAGAAGUGCGAAUGCUGACAUAAGUAACGAUAAAGCGGGUGAAAAGCCCGCUCGCCGGAAGACCAAGGGUUCCUGUCCAACGUUAAUCGGGGCAGGGUGAGUCGACCCCUAAGGCGAGGCCGAAAGGCGUAGUCGAUGGGAAACAGGUUAAUAUUCCUGUACUUGGUGUUACUGCGAAGGGGGGACGGAGAAGGCUAUGUUGGCCGGGCGACGGUUGUCCCGGUUUAAGCGUGUAGGCUGGUUUUCCAGGCAAAUCCGGAAAAUCAAGGCUGAGGCGUGAUGACGAGGCACUACGGUGCUGAAGCAACAAAUGCCCUGCUUCCAGGAAAAGCCUCUAAGCAUCAGGUAACAUCAAAUCGUACCCCAAACCGACACAGGUGGUCAGGUAGAGAAUACCAAGGCGCUUGAGAGAACUCGGGUGAAGGAACUAGGCAAAAUGGUGCCGUAAC
rnacentral:rRNA from 1 species